GAUUAUCACGGGGGACAUCCAAUAAAAUUGGAACGAUACAAAGUAGAUUAGCAUAGCCUCUGCGCAAGGAUGACAUGCACAAAUCGAGAAGAUGUCUCUAUCUUG